rnacentral:lncRNA from 1 species
CGUGAGCCACCGUGCCCAGCUGGUUUAUUUUCAAACACGUAUUUAUAAGGUGACCUAUGAAGUUGAAGUUGUGCAGCCUUUCUCUAGUUAUAUAAGGCUUCAGAUAUUUAAAGAACACCUUUAAGUGGGUCCCAUAAAGGAGAGGAGGGAAUUUUACAGUUGUGUUUGUUUGUUUAUACUUGCUUGGUUUCAAAAAGGACAUGAAGCAUUUAGAGAGCCACAUAUUACACAACAGGUGCCUGGCAUCUGAUCCUUACUGACUCAUAGUCCCUAAAUCUUGGCCAUUGUUACUGACAGUAGCAGUAGUAAUGGAGUAAGUAGUAUCAUUAACAAGACAAAAAACUGAAAUGCAAAGGGAAAUUAAAGGGGGAAUUAUAACAUGAAACUAGUGUUGGUACACAAAACAUAUGGUAUAAAGUUCCAUACAAUAGCUAAAAGUGGCUUGUAGAUUGGCUGAUCUUUCUAGAGACCUGUACAAAUAAAUACUGGGUCCAGGCCGGACACGGUGGCUCAAGCCUGUAAUCCCAGCACUUUAGGAGGCCAAGGCGGGCAGAUCACAAGGUCAGGAGUUCGAGACCAGCCUGGCCAAUAUGGUGAAACCCUGUCUCUACUAAAAAUACAAAAAAAUUAGCGGGGCGUGGUGGCGCAUGCCUGUAGUUCCAGCUACUCAGGAGGCUGAGGCAGGAGAAUCGCUUGAGCCCGGGAGGUGGAGGUUGCAGUGAGCCGAGAUCAUGCCACUGACUCCAGCCUGGGUGACAGAGUGAGACUCUGUCUCAAAAAAAAAAAAAAAAAAUACUGGGUCCACACUUCAUGUGGCACAUCCAGGAAAGUUCUCCUGUGGGUUUUCAGCAAACCGAUAUUUUGAGAUGCACAGGGCCACGUCUUCAACCCCAUCCCUUAGUUCUGGACCCAGUCUAACACAGACACGGAUGGACAAACAAAGCCCCAAUGAUGUAUGAUACUGAGUAUGGCUGCCAUGAAUUUGACAGUCAUGCUUUUAAAGCUGCCAUUACUGGCCAGGCAAGGUGGCUCACACCUGUAAUGCCAGCACUUGUGGGGGCCAAGGCAAGAGGAUUGCUUGAGGCCAGGAGUUCAAGACCAGCCUGGGCAACAUAACGAGACCCUAGACUUCUGAGAAAAAAAGGAGGGGGUCUGACAGAUGACUUGAAGCUAGACCAGCUUAAUACCAGUGCAGCUUGACUGCCCCUAUAGGCAGGCUUGCUCCAAACCUAGUGGAUAGCACUAAGAGUACAAAAGCAGACUGGGUGCGGUGGCUCAUGCCUAUAAUCCCAGCACCUGGGGAGGCUGAGGUGGGAGGAUCGAGCCCAGGAAUUGGAGGCUGCAGUGAGCUAUGACUGCACCACUGCACUCCAGCCGGGGUGACACAGUGAGACCCUGUCUCUACAAAAGAGAAAAAAAGUAAAACAGCAAACAAACAACAAAACGUCCAAAUACUACUCUCUUAGAGUAUGAAACAGAAACCAUCUUCUUACUGGUUGGAUGUUUCUAGGGCCACUGUGUUUCAUUCUCUCUGAAUGGCCCCUGGAGCUGAGCAGGGAGGAGAUACUGUGUAUCUAUGGAGUAACCCCAUAGGGUUAAAAGUUACAUGUUGUCCUGGUUUUUCUCAGACUUCACCAGUGCUUAAUUUUUUUUUUUUUUUUUGAGAGAGUCUCGCUAUGUCGCCCAGGCUGGUGUGCAGUGGUGUGAUCUCGGCUCGCUGCAACCUCUGCCUCCCGGGUUCAAGUGAUUCUCCUGCCUCAGCCUCCCAAGUAGCUGGGAAUACAGGUGCGUGCCACCAUGCCCAGCUAAUUUCUGCGUUUUUAGUAGAGAUGGGGUUUCACCAUGUUAGCCAGGUUGGUCUCGAACCUGACCUCGUGAUCCGCCCACCUCAGCCUCUCAAAGUGCUGGAAUUACAGGCAUGAGCAACUGUCUCUGGCCUAAUUUUUGUAUUUUUAGUAGAGACAGGGUUUCACCAUGUUGGCCAGGCUGGUCUUGAACUUCUCGACCUCUGGUGAUCCACUUGCCUCGGCCUCCCAAAGUGCUGGCAUUAUAGGCAUGAGUCACCGCACCCGGCCUAACCAGUGCUUAAAAUUUGACAUUCUCUAGAUUAAGGCUGGGACAUAUGAUUUGUAAUAGUGGCUUUAUUUAUUUAUUCAUUUUUUGAGACAGGUCUUAACUCUGUUGCCCAGGAUGGAGUGCAGUGGUGCAAUCCUAGCUCACUGCAGCCUCGACCUCCCAAGGGUCAAGCAACCCUCCCACUUCAUCCUCCCGAGUAGCUGGGACUACAGGCGCACACCACCACAACCGGCUAAUUUUUGCACUCACAGACUCACUACUCACUUUUUUUUUUUUUUUUUUU